GAAACGUGCAGUCAGGCUGGCUGAGGUGCGUCUGGCCUCAGGGAGUGGGGAAGAAGCCAUGGUCCUGUGCUGUAGGUGUAUGAAGAGGGUGCAGUGAUGAGGAAACACAGAGUGGGAGCCAUACCACUGAGCAUCCUGCUCGCUUCAGGAGACUCGAUAGGCAAAAGAAUGUGUGGGGUCACGUUCAGCUCAUGCAUCCAGAGGAGCAAACAGGCUGCGUUUCCUCGGAGGCAGGUAAAAGGCACCGGCUCUGUGCAGUGUAUUGGCCUGGCAUGGGCCUGGCCCUACUUUCUGCUCUGCGAUCUGCCAAAUGCAACAGGGCUACAA
rnacentral:lncRNA from 1 species